rnacentral:rRNA from 1 species
AGUGAACGCUGGCGGUAGGCCUAACACAUGCAAGUCGAACGGCAGCACAGUAAGAUCUUGCUCUUACGGGUGGCGAGUGGCGGACGGGUGAGGAAUACAUCGGAAUCUACUUUUUCGUGGGGGAUAACGUAGGGAAACUUACGCUAAUACCGCAUACGACCUACGGGUGAAAGCAGGGGAUCUUCGGACCUUGCGCGAUUGAAUGAGCCGAUGUCGGAUUAGCUAGUUGGCGGGGUAAAGGCCCACCAAGGCGACGAUCCGUAGCUGGUCUGAGAGGAUGAUCAGCCACACUGGAACUGAGACACGGUCCAGACUCCUACGGGAGGCAGCAGUGGGGAAUCUUCGACAAUGGGCGCAAGCCUGAUCCAGCCAUACCGCGUGGGUGAAGAAGGCCUUCGGGUUGUAAAGCCCUUUUGUUGGGAAAGAAAAGCAGCAGGUUAAUACCCCGCUGUUCUGACGGUACCCAAAGAAUAAGCACCGGCUAACUUCGUG